UAAAAAGAAAAAACAAAGGGUGGGCCCACAUUAUUACACGAUCUAUCUCACUGCAUCUCAUCAUGUCCAAAUUCUCAGCUGGUAAAGUAACUAGUACAGCUCUGUCUUACUGUAUGUCUGUAUCUAUAUCUGUAUGUAUAUCUCUGUUAAAUUUAACAAUCAACUUAAUUAAUCAGCCUAUCCUUACAUUCUCUUCUCUUCUCUUCUAUUUACAUAAACAAUUACUAGUAAAGAUCCCAUCUUUAUUUGUUUUGUUGCUUUCUUGAUUUAUGAACCCUAGUUUCUGUUUCAAGAUGCAGCCCAGAUCCUGAUUUAUAUGAAGACAUAUGUGUUGUAGACUUGCGGUGCUUGUUCUAUUGAUUUCAAGAUGUGGGUCAGAUCCUAAAAUUUGAUUACUUGUGAGUUGCAAUUUACUCUACUAAGUGUUUGAUGGAUUCCCCUCUGUUAGCUACUCUAGUUUUAGUUGUUCUGGGCAUUUUUAAUCUGCUUGCUGAUUCGCAAUCGAUAUCGAAUCUAGUCCCACCAUUUCCCCCUCCCCCNNN
rnacentral:lncRNA from 1 species